CACGUAGGGCGCAAGCGUUGUCCGGAAUUAUUGGGCGUAAAGAGCUCGUAGGCGGCUUGUCACGUCGGGUGUGAAAGCCCGGGGCUUAACCCCGGGUCUGCAUUCGAUACGGGCUAGCUAGAGUGUGGUAGGGGAGAUCGGAAUUCCUGGUGUAGCGGUGAAAUGCGCAGAUAUCAGGAAGAACACCCGUGGCGAAGGCGGCUCUCUGGGACGGUACUGACGCUGAGACGCGAAAGCGUGGGGAGCGAACAGG
rnacentral:rRNA from 1 species